CCUACGGGGGGCAGCAGUGAGGAAUAUUGGUCAAUGGACGAGAGUCUGAACCAGCCAAGUCGCGUGAAGGAUGACUGCCCUAUGGGUUGUAAACUUCUUUUAUAUGGGAAUAAAAUGUUCCACGUGUGGGAUUUUGUAUGUACCAUAUGAAUAAGGAUCGGCUAACUCCGUGCCAGCAGCCGCGGUAAUACGGAGGAUCCGAGCGUUAUCCGGAUUUAUUGGGUGUAAAGGGAGCGUAGGUGGAUUGUUAAGUCAGUUGUGAAAGUUUGCGGCUCAACCGUAAAAUUGCAGUUGAAACUGGCAGACUUGAGUACAGUAGAGGUGAGCGGAAUUCGUGGUGUAGCGGUGAAAUGCUUAGAUAUCGCGAAGAACUCCGAUUGCGAAGGCAGGUCACUGGACUGCAACUGACACUGAGGCUCGAAAGUGUGGGUAGCAAACAGGAUUAGAUACCCCUGUAGUC
rnacentral:rRNA from 1 species